rnacentral:rRNA from 1 species
CAGUCCCGCGGUAAAACGUAGGGUGCGAGCGUUAAUCGGAAUUACUGGGCGUAAAGCGUGCGCAGGCGGUUGUGUAAGACAGGUGUGAAAUCCCCGGGCUUAACCUGGGAAUGGCAAUGGAUACUGGCAAGCUAGAGUGUGUCAGAGGAUGGUGGAAUUCCCGGUGUAGCGGUGAAAUGCGUAGAGAUCUGGAGGAACAUCAGUGGCGAAGGCGGCCAUCUGGGACAACACUGACGCUGAGGCACGAAAGCGUGGGGAGCAAACAGGAUUAGAUACCCCAGUAGUCCCUGUCUCUUAUACA